CACGGAGUUAGCCGAUCCUUAUUCCUUCGGUACAUUCAGCUACUUACACGUAAGCAGGUUUAUUCCCGAAUAAAAGCAGUUUACGACCCAGAGGGCUGUCUUCCUGCACGCGGCAUGGCUGGUUCAGAGUUGCCUCCAUUGACCAAUAUUCCUUACUGCUGCCUCCCGUAGGAGUCUGGUCCGUGUCUCAGUACCAGUGUGGGGGGUCAUCCUCUCAGAUCCCCUAGACAUCGUGGUCUUGGUGGGCCGUUACCCCGCCAACUAACUAAUGUCACGCAUGCCCAUCUUGAUCCUAUAAAUAUUUGAACAUUGUACAAUGCUGUACUGUGUUUUUAUGCGGUGUUAAUCCGAAUUUCUUCGGGCUAUCCCCCUGAUCAAGGUAGGUUGCAUACGCGUUACGCACCCGUGCGCCACUUUCUUCCCAGCAAGCUGGAAAUAUCGUUCGACUUGCAUGUAUUAGGCCUGCCGCUAGCGUUCAUCCUGAGCCAGGAUCAAACU
rnacentral:rRNA from 1 species